GUGGGGAAUAUUGGACAAUGGGCGAAAGCCUGAUCCAGCCAUGCCGCGUGUGUGAAGAAGGUCUUCGGAUUGUAAAGCACUUUAAGUUGGGAGGAAGGGCAGUAAGUUAAUACCUUGCUGUUUUGACGUUACCGACAGAAUAAGCACCGGCUAACUUCGUGCCAGCAGCCGCGGUAAUACGAAGGGUGCAAGCGUUAAUCGGAAUUACUGGGCGUAAAGCGCGCGUAGGUGGUUUUGUAAGUUGGAGGUGAAAUCCCCGGGCUCAACCUGGGAAUUGCCUCCAAAACUGCAUGACUAGAGUACGGUAGAGGGUAGUGGAAUUUCCUGUGUAGCGGUGAAAUGCGUAGAUAUAGGAAGGAACACCAGUGGCGAAGGCGACUACCUGGACUGAUACUGACACUGAGGUGCGAAAGCGUGGGGAGCAAACAGGAUUAGAUACCCGUGUAGUCC
rnacentral:rRNA from 1 species